AGUGAACGCUGGCGGUAGGCCUAACACAUGCAAGUCGAACGGCAGCACAGUAAGAGCUGCUCUUACGGGUGGCGAGUGGCGGACGGGUGAGGAAUACAUCGGAAUCUACUUUUUCGUGGGGGAUAACGUAGGGAAACUUACGCUAAUACCGCAUACGACCUACGGGUGAAAGCAGGGGAUCUUCGGACCUUGCGCGAUUGAAUGAGCCGAUGUCGGAUUAGCUAGUUGGCGGGGUAAAGGCCCACCAAGGCGACGAUCCGUAGCUGGUCUGAGAGGAUGAUCAGCCACACUGGAACUGAGACACGGUCCAGACUCCUACGGGAGGCAGCAGUGGGGAAUAUUGGACAAUGGGCGCAAGCCUGAUCCAGCCAUACCGCGUGGGUGAAGAAGGCCUUCGGGUUGUAAAGCCCUUUUGUUGGGAAAGAAAAGCAGCAGGUUAAUACCCCGCUGUUCUGACGGUACCCAAAGAAUAAGCACCGGCUAACUUCGUG
rnacentral:rRNA from 1 species